rnacentral:rRNA from 1 species
AAAAGAAAAUUGAAUUUAUUAAGUGAAAUUUUACUAUUCAAAAUAUUUUUAUAAAAAAUAAUUGAAGCUAAAAAAUUUUUUUAAAAAACUAGGAUUAGAUACCCUAUUAUUUAAAAUGUAAAUAUAAAUAUUAAAGUAGUAAUAGAUAUGUACUUGAACACUUAAAAAAUUUGGCGGUAUUUUAGUCUAUCCAGAGGAACCUGUUUUGUAUCGAUAAUCCACGAUGGACCUUACUUAAAUUUGUAAUCAGUUUAUUUACCGGCGUUAUCAGAUUUUCUUAUAAGAAUAAUAAUAUUCAAUAAUUUUAAUAAAAAUUUAUAUCAGAUCAAGGUGUAGCUUAUAUUUAAGUAAUAAUGGGUUACAAUAAAAUUAUUUAUACGGAUAAAAUUAUGAAAAAGUUUUUGAAGGUGGAUUUGGUAGUAAAAUUAUAAAGAUAAAUAAUUUGAUUUUAGCUCUAAAAUAUGUACACAUCGCCCGUCGCCCUUAUUAUUAAGGUAAGAUAAGUCGUAACAUAGGGAGAUGUACUGGAAAGUGUAUCUAGAUGACAAAG